AACGAACGCUGGCGGCAGGCUUAACACAUGCAAGUCGAACGCCCCGCAAGGGGAGUGGCAGACGGGUGAGUAACGCGUGGGAACGUGCCCUUCGCUUCGGAAUAGCCCCGGGAAACUGGGAGUAAUACCGGAUACGCCGUAUUGGGAAAGAUUUAUCGGCGAAGGAUCGGCCCGCGUUAGAUUAGCUAGUUGGCGGUGUAAUGGACCACCAAGGCUACGAUCUAUAGCUGGUCUGAGAGGAUGAUCAGCCACACUGGGACUGAGACACGGCCCAGACUCCUACGGGAGGCAGCAGUGGGGAAUCUUGGACAAUGGGCGCAAGCCUGAUCCAGCCAUGCCGCGUGAGUGAAGAAGGCCUUAGGGUUGUAAAACUCUUUCGCCGGAGAAGAUAAUGACGGUAUCCGGAGAAGAAGCCCCGGCUAACUUCGUGCCAGCCGCCGCCGUAA
rnacentral:rRNA from 1 species